rnacentral:rRNA from 1 species
CCUACGGGAGGCAGCAGUGGGGAAUUUUGGACAAUGGGCGCAAGCCUGAUCCAGCAAUGCCGCGUGAGUGAAGAAGGCCUUCGGGUUGUAAAGCUCUUUUGUCAGGGAAGAAACGGCUGAGGUUAAUACCUUUGGCUAAUGACGGUACCUGAAGAAUAAGCACCGGCUAACUACGUGCCAGCAGCCGCGGUAAUACGUAGGGUGCAAGCGUUAAUCGGAAUUACUGGGCGUAAAGCGUGCGCAGGCGGUUUUGUAAGUCUGACGUGAAAUCCCCGGGCUCAACCUGGGAAUUGCGUUGGAGACUGCAAGGCUGGAGUCUGGCAGAGGGGGGUAGAAUUCCACGUGUAGCAGUGAAAUGCGUAGAGAUGUGGAGGAACACCGAUGGCGAAGGCAGCCCCCUGGGUCAAGACUGACGCUCAUGCACGAAAGCGUGGGGAGCAAACAGGAUUAGAUACCCUGGUAGUCCACGCCCUAAACGAUGUCUACUAGUUGUCGGGUCUUAAUUGACUUGGUAACGCAGCUAACGCGUGAAGUAGACCGCCUGGGGAGUAGUGGUCGACGAGUAAACGUUAACCGUAACUAAGUAGUUAGUUACGGACGUCGUAGGACGUAGUCGAACCGGACGACGACCGACGGGGAGGGUUAGGUUAGGG